UACGGAGGGGCUAGCGUUGUUCGGAAUUACUGGGCGUAAAGCGCACGUAGGCGGCUUUGCAAGUUAGAGGUGAAAGGCCCGGGGCUCAACCCCGGAAUUGCCUUUAAAACUGCAUCGCUAGAAUUGUGGAGAGGUAAGUGGAAUUCCGAGUGUAGAGGUGAAAUUCGUAGAUAUUCGGAAGAACACCAGUGGCGAAGGCGACUUACUGGACACAUAUUGACGCUGAGGUGGCGAAAAGCGUGGGGAGCAAACAGG
rnacentral:rRNA from 1 species